UCGCUUUAGCAGUGAAGUCUAAUGCACCCCUUUAAUAGUUGCUUAGUUCAAAAUUAUAAAAAUUUAUAACCAGUUCUUGUAGAUCAUUCUACAAAUAUUCUGUAAAACUGUUUCUAUUUUUAAUUCUUUCUCUGGUUUCCUCCACAUCCCUAACGUUGUUACUACUUCACACACCAACUUUCGUCUCUAUCGCCUUCCUGCUAGGACAGUAAAAAUGGAAACUUAAUUCUUAAGUUCUUUUGAAGGCUGUAUAAAAUUUUAAAGUCAUAGGUAUUCUUUUUUGAAAAAUUAAAAAUAGUUACUCUUUUAAGGGCUUUUAUGUAAAUAUCACACUAAUAAACACAAUUUAACUCCAGGAGAUUGGAGUACUAAUUAAUAUUUGGGUGGAGCCAGUUGUCACGUUAAAGAAAUCCACAGCCUGAUGUUCACACACCACACGGCGCGUGUAACCACUUCUCGCGGGUCGGGGAAGUGCCGCUCACGCCCUUUUAAAAGGACGGUACCCGCCCAUGGCCCCGCCCCCUUAUAGCUAAAGAUCUCAAAAGGCUCCAACGCAGCCUCCCCUUAAAGGGGAAACCUAUUUCUGUCGGCUAAAAAGGGAACUUCCAGCCGCAGCUUGCCUUAAGGUCCCAGGUCGGGGUGGCGGACUGUCUCCUGAAGCCUGAAUCUUGAGUGAGGGACACUGCAAGGGCCUGGCAAGAAGACCCAGUUGUUCCUGGAAUACAGUGUUGUCUGGGUUUGGCCGCCCAGCCUCUGGAGCACUCUGUUUUCGAAGCCUGGGUGUGCAACCGCACUGGCUGCUCCUCCUGGAGAGCUUCCAUGCUUGGGGAACAAGAAUGCUUCCACGUGCCACCAAGACAGACUUCAAGCUUCAAGAGAGGAGCUUAUUUGGGACUUUGCCCUCUGUAUCUUCACCUGGAUGUUAACUUGUAUCCUUUAUAGUAUCUUUUAUUAAACUGGUAAAUGUGU